CCUACGGGGGGCAGCAGUGGGGAAUAUUGCACAAUGGGGGAAACCCUGAUGCAGCGACGCCGCGUGAGCGAUGAAGUAUUUCGGUAUGUAAAGCUCUAUCAGCAGGGAAGAAAAUGACGGUACCUGACUAAGAAGCCCUGGCUAACUACGUGCCAGCAGCCGCGGUAAUACGUAGGGGGCGAGCGUUAUCCGGAUUCACUGGGUGUAAAGGGAGCGUAGACGGCCAAGCAAGCCAGGGGUGAAAGCCCGGGGCCCAACCCCGGGACUGCCCUUGGAACUGCUUGGCUGGAGUGCGGGAGGGGCAG
rnacentral:rRNA from 1 species